rfam:Mus musculus chromosome 8, GRC primary reference assembly.
UGGUGCCCAAUGUGGGACAGCAAGAACAAGAGACCCCAUGAGAGAUGUUACUAGAAGGGUGGACCAAAAAUUCAAAAGUGAAACAAAGGUGAUCACUGCGGGAACCUGCCACAUUGAGACCGUUGAGUCAUAGUAACAAAAAUGGGGCAAGAAAUAAGUCAGCACGAACUAUACAUGGAACAAAUGAGAAAGGCUUUAAAGACACGAGGAGUAAAGGUAAAAAUUCAGCAUUUAUUGUCUUUUUUUUUUUUUUAAUUUCAUUAAAGAGUUAUGUCCCU